UUAAUAAAUAUAAAUAAUAAUUCGUAAUUUUUUUACUCCAUAUAUUUGUUUUAACAAACGUGCUGUAUAUAAAAGGGAAACUACGCGUCUCGUCGGUAACGUUAUGUCCAUAUAAAGUAUAGUUUUAUGCGUCUUGUCGAUGAAGUGUUAAAUUGCCUGUUGUUUUUGAGCCUCUAAGAAUAGAUACUUCAAAGUUUGUUCAGACAACGUUCGCUAUUUCAUGACGAUGAAAUUCGGACGUAUGUAGGUGGCGAUGUUUUAUAUUUAAUGACCUUCAGCGAUUGAGAUUGGGACAAGUGGGAAGACCAUGUAAUGUUUCGAUAUAAGCCAAAUCUUAUGAUCAAUUUUGUGCGCACAAAACUUUAAGCCGAUUCUGAUAAGUCUAGUGAGACACGAUAUGAGCAUUCUCUCACUAUACAUACGCGAACGCGCUCGCAUACAUACGCGCGUCGUAUUAUAUACACUAAAGAGGUAUGGAGCACACACACGUAAUAUGAAAAAAAGUGCAGUAGUAAGGCAGGUAGAGGUAAGCUACAGACGUGAGAGUGAGUGGGGCCAUAGUUGAACGGCAGCAGAACCGUUGGUAUAUCUCAGUACAGAGUUGGACGUCCGUCGUCACUCUUAUUCGUCGUUUUCUAUUUUGUUUCUCUCGUUCUUUUGGUGGUAUAGAUGUAGAAAUUUCACUGUACAGCACAACGUAUUUAAAAUUGUGUUGAUAAUAAGUGUCACAGUGAUCUCUUUUUUUUUUUAAAGAUAGAAAAUGCAUGAAAAACGGACGGUGAUUGAUAAUGUAUUUAAAAUUUAAAACGCAUUAAAAAUGUUGGGCUAAUAGAAUUUUAAUUUGACAAUAACAGAUGAAUAUUCGCAAAUGCUGAAAAAUAUCAGGGCUGCACGUGAAAGUUAUAAGUUUAUCGAUGCAUACAGUAAGGAAUUAAAUAUUUUUCGCAAAUUUUCUUAAAUUUAGACCGAAGAAUAACCAGGAAAAGAUUAAUAAGUGUUCUUUCAGACGUUUUUAAAAUUUUAAAAUGAAUCUGUUUAUAUAAAUGUGAACGCUUGUUAUGGAUAAAUUUCAUAUUUUCGCGCGUAAAAGCGAAUAACAAUAAAUUGUUGUUUUCGAAUGAUACUAACGAAAAUAUAUGAAUAUUAUAAUACUAUCAUUUAUACAUUACAUUUGCUAUUUUGCAAAGAACUUUUUCUCAAAUAAAUAGCAAGUUUUGUAUGUUUUUAGAAAUCUUAAAAAGAAAGAUAUUAUUUGUAUAUCUGUAUAUAUAUAAUAUAAAUUAAAAGGAAUUAUUGUCAUAUAAACAUUGCACAUGAUUCUAUAAAGAAGUACGAAAAAUAUAUAACUUUUCGGGUCAUAUUUUUUCUUUUGCAUAUUUUUAUUUGUUGGCCUUCGAAAUGUAUAUAUUUAAUGCGCAUAUGCACGAUCAUGGAGCAUUGAUAUUUGAGAAUUUUUGCGAUAAAUUGUGAAUCUAGAACGCGUAUCUUUUAAAAUUUUAUCAUGAAAAGAGGUUAAGUUAUUAUAUAUAAAAUAUGCCUUCCGGAAUUUGAUAAACUAAUGCAAGAAAAAAGUUGGAAUUCAAAGUAUUACGUGUGCAAAAAUGCAGAAUACUUGGUGACCGAAAAGUUUGCUUUGCAUGCGAGAAACGUGAAAUUACUACAUAUGUGUUAAAAACGACGGAGAAAAUUGCAUACAUGUGUGGAUUACUGACGACGACCAGACAAAGGAGAAAAAAAACUGAGAGAAAGAAAGAGAGAAAUAUUCCGUUAAAAAAUGGCUUUAAUAAUACCUAGAAACAAAUCGCCCGUUGUACAUGACAAGGAUACUGUUCCAGCAUACGAUGUACGUAAUGCUUACAUGCCUUACAUGCAUGACUUUUUAAAUGAUUAUCCGUAUUGCUAUACAGGCGUAGGUAUAGCUAUGUUACAUAUUUUGAAAAUCAAUUCUUCCAUUACACAGAAAAUAUAACGUUAAUGCUAAUGAUGUAGUGCUAAUUAUUGCUACAUCUUCAUUUAACCAUUGCUAUUGCAAUUCUAAUAUGCGUGUACGUGCAAAGAAAAAAUUUAAUUUGAAAAUGUUUUGGUUAAUUCAAUACAAUUAUAAAAUUAAUCAAAAGCUUUAAAAAAU